UGUGUGUGUGUUCUGGGAACAGAUUCCCACUAAAAUCUCUUGACAACCAAAUUCUGCCAUGAAUAGAAAACCCAAGAAUGAAACAAUGACAGGGACAGAUUAUUAUUCACUUUUUCUGCCAUGAUGAAAAACUAAUUCCCCACCUACCCCACAACUAGGAAACCAAUUCUUAACAAAUGUGAGAUUUUUUAAAUAACCACUCAGGAGUCCGGUUUAAAAAAAAAAAAAAAGCGCCAUAAACUAAGGCUGAUGUAUGUUAUCUGAUGACAGCAAACAAAAUAAAAAAGUGAUUCAUUAUGUGAAGAUUAUUUUUUCCUCUAUUCAUGCUAUAU